rnacentral:rRNA from 1 species
CAGUAGCCACGGUAAUACAGAGGGUGCAAGCGUUAAUCGGAAUUACUGGGCGUAAAGCGCGCGUAGGUGGUUUGUUAAGUUGGAUGUGAAAUCCCCGGGCUCAACCUGGGAACUGCAUCCAAAACUGGCAAGCUAGAGUAUGGUAGAGGGUGGUGGAAUUUCCUGUGUAGCGGUGAAAUGCGUAGAUAUAGGAAGGAACACCAGUGGCGAAGGCGACCACCUGGACUGAUACUGACACUGAGGUACGAAAGCAUGGGGAGCAAACAGGAUUAGAUACCCCUGUAGUCCCUGUCUCUUAUAC